rnacentral:rRNA from 1 species
AGGACGAACGCUGGCGGCGUGCCUAAUAUAUGCAAGUGGAACGCAUGAUUGAUACCGUAGCUUGCUACACCAUUAAUCAUGAGUCGCGAACGGGUGAGUAACGCGUAGGUAACCUGCCUACUAGCGGGGGAUAACUAUUGGAAACGAUAGCUAAUACCGCAUAAGAGUUUUUAACACAUGUUAGAGAUUUAAAAGGAGCAAAUGCUUCACUAGUAGAUGGACCUGCGUUGUAUUAGCUAGUUGGUAAGGUAACGGCUUACCAAGGCGACGAUACAUAGCCGACCUGAGAGGGUGAUCGGCCACACUGGGACUGAGACACGGCCCAGACUCCUACGGGAGGCAGCAGUAGGGAAUCUUCGGCAAUGGGGGGAACCCUGACCGAGCAACGCCGCGUGAGUGAAGAAGGUUUUCGGAUCGUAAAGCUCUGUUGUAAGAGAAGAACGUUGAGUAGAGUGGAAAGUUACUCAAGUGACGGUAUCUUACCAGAAAGGGACGGCUAACUACGUGCCAGCAGCGGC